rnacentral:rRNA from 1 species
GACGGAAGGUGCAAGCGUUGCUCGGAAUCACUGGGCGUAAAGGGUGCGUAGGCGGCCGUGCAAGUCUGGCGUGAAAGCCCCGGGCUCAGCCCGGGAAGUGCGCUCGAAACUGCGCGGCUCGAGUGCCGGAGGGGAGAGUGGAAUUCCUGGUGUAGCGGUGAAAUGCGUAGAUAUCAGGAGGAAUACCGGUGGCGAAGGCGGCAUCCUGGACCGAUACUGACGCUGAGGAGCGAAAGCGUGGGGAGCGAACAGG